GACGAACGCUGGCGGCGUGGAUUAGGCAUGCAAGUCGAACGGUAUCAUCCUUUCGGGGGUGAGAGAGUGGCGAACUGGUGAGUAACACGUAGGUUAUCCACCCUCAAGACGGGGACAACCCAGGGAAACUUGGGCUAAUACCGGAUGUGAGCAACUUUUAGUUGUUUGAAAGGUGGCGUAAGCUGUCGCUUGGGGAUGAGCCUGCGUCCUAUUAGUUAGUUGGUGAGGUAACGGCUCACCUAGGCAAUGAUAGGUAGGCGGCCUUAACGGGUGGUCGCCCACACUGGGAUUGAGAUACGGCCCAGACUCCUACGGGAGGCAGCAGUCGAGAAUAGUCUACAAUGGUCGGAAGACUGAUAGUGCGACGCCGCGUGAACGAUGAAUCCCUUCGGGGUGUAAAGUUCUUUUAUAUGUGAGCAGUGCUUCUUAUAUUAACAGUAUGGGGAGAGAGAUAUUAGCAUAUGAAUAAGCAACGGCUAACUCCGUGCCAGCAGCCGCGGUAAACUCGU
rnacentral:rRNA from 1 species